AGCUCCAAUAGCGUAUAUUAAAGUUGUUGCAGUUAAAAAGCUCGUAGUUGGAUUUCUGGCAGGGUGGCUUUGCCCUCUUGAUGAGUGUGCAAUUUUGCCCUUCCAUCCUUCUGUUAACUUUUGAGAGUUUAACGCUUUCCUAAGGGCUCAGAUAUUUUACCUUGAGAAAAUUAGAGUGUUUCAGGCAGGCUAGGCCGGAAUACAUUAGCAUGGAAUAAUGGAAUAGGACCUUAGCCUCUUCUGUUGGUCUGAGGGGUUAGAGUAAUGAUUAAUAGGGAUAGUUGGGGGCAUUAGUACUUAACUGUCAGAGGGGAAAUUCUCGGAUUUGUUAAAGACUAACUUAUGCGAAAGCAUUUGCCAAGGAUGUUU
rnacentral:rRNA from 1 species